rnacentral:sRNA from 1 species
CCAUAGCGAGGAUGCUGGAAGGAUAAACGACUCAGGAUGAGGGUCAGGAGCGCCAGGAGGCGAAGACACAGGAUUGUCAGGAUGACAAGACGUUCGGAGACGUUUAAUUUACGGAAAAGGAAAAGACACGGAUCGUUCCAGGCUGAAGGAAAAACAGGGUGUGUUGAGAGCCGACACGGAAUGUGGAACCCGCUAAGGGUUAUGAGUCAGGUUAAAAGGCGGCAGAGCAAUCUGUCGCCUUUUUUCUUUAUUUCUGC